rnacentral:rRNA from 1 species
AACGUAGGAGACAAACGUUAUCCGGAGUUACUGGGCGUAAAGGGCGUGUAGGUGGUUUUGUAAGUCUGGCGUGAAAUUUUUCGGCUUAACCGGGAAAGGUCGUCGGAUACUGCAGGACUAGAGGACGGUAGAGGCGUGUGGAAUUCCGGGUGUAGUGGUGAAAUGCGUAGAGAUCCGGAAGAACACCAGUGGCGAAGGCGGCCCGCUGGGCAGUGGCUGACGCUGAAGCGCGACAGCGUGGGGAGCAAACAGG